ensembl:processed_transcript
UUCCUGUAAGGGCAAUCGGACCCUUUCCGGUGAGGGAACCUUUCUCCAGACGUGAUCAAGAGAAACUUGCGAGGGGCUGACUUGAUCUAGCUUACCUUGGGUCACCGAACGGAUUUGACAUGUGACAUAAUUAUCCCAGCGAUCACUAAAACUGUAAAUCUGGAUGCAAUUAAGAGAGAAAACUCCACACAUUUAUGGAAAUUUAAGAUUUGCAGCUUGCUGCCUUGCUGAGUUGAAAAUGAUUCUUUCCUAGUUCUCUUUGUUUUCUUCCUUUCGUGAAUUGAUUAACACUGAGAGAUUUUGUUUUAAUUAUGUUGGCUAGAGGUUUUUAAUGAUCCUAGUUUUCUGUGUCCAUUUGUUUUCCUAGGUUUGCGGAAUUUGCCACUGCAAUAUCAUUGUGUAGAUAUUCUUUGCUUCAGUGAGAAACUCAGCUCUUUCUACUCUGUGGUUCUCAGCUUUAGCCUGUUGUGCACAUCAAAGAGUUAAUGAAAGCUGUGCUCAUACUUGAUUUUUUUCUUCAUUACUAUUGAAAUAAAGCAUAUCCUUG